rnacentral:rRNA from 1 species
GAUGAACGCUAGCGGCAGUCUUAACACCCAGCAAGUCGAGGGGUAACAGGGAUUGCUUGCAAUCCGCUGACGACCGGCGCACGGGUGCGUAACGCGUAUGCAACCUACCUUCUACAGGGGGAUAGUCAAUAGAAAUGUUGAAUAAUACCCCAUACGAUCUUUGAAUAGCAUUAUUUAGAGAAGAAAGUUCCGGCGGUAGAAGAUGGGCAUGCGUCCUAUUAGUUAGUUGGAGAGGUAACGGCUCCCCAAGACAUCGAUAGGUAGGGGUCCUGAGAGGGAGACCCCCCACACUGGUACUGAGACACGGACCAGACUCCUACGGGAGGCAGCAGUGAGGAAUAUUGGACAAUGGAGGCAACUCUGAUCCAGCCAUGCCGCGUGCAGGAAGACUGCCCUAUGGGUUGUAAACUGCUUUUAUACAGGAAGAAAUGUACCUACGUGUAGGUAUUUGACGGUACUGUACGAAUAAGGAUCGGCUAACUCCGUGCCAGCAGCCGCGGUAAUACGGAGGAUCCAAGCGUUAUCCGGAAUCAUUGGGUUUAAAGGGUCCGUAGGCGGUCUUUUAAGUCAGAGGUGAAAUCCUACAGCUCAACUGUAGAAUUGCCUUUGAUACUGAAAGACUUGAGUUAUUGUGAAGUAGUUAGAAUGUGUGGUGUAGCGGUGAAAUGCAUAGAGAUCACACAGAAUACCGAUUGCGAAGGCAGAUUACUAACAAUAUACUGACGCUGAG